AGAAAAAAUGAUGAGAUUAUAAUGGCUGAAUUCAAUCAAUGUGGAAUUUUAUACCAUACUGGUCUUCAAAGUUCUCUGAUGUCU